rnacentral:rRNA from 1 species
UACAGAGGUCUCAAGCGUUGUUCGGAUUUACUGGGCGUAAAGGGCGCGUAGGCGGCAAAUUAAGUCAGCUGUGAAAUCUCCGAGCUUAACUCGGAACUGUCAGCUGAUACUGAUCUGCUAGAGUGCGGAAGGGGCAAUCGGAAUUCUUGGUGUAGCGGUGAAAUGCGUAGAUAUCAAGAGGAACACCUGAGGUGAAGACGGGUUGCUGGGCCGACACUGACGCUGAGUGCGCGAAAGCCAGGGGAGCAAACGGG